rnacentral:rRNA from 1 species
GAAGGCUGAAAUUCGCCUUCAUGAAGCCGGAAUUGCUAGUAAUGGCAGGUCAGCAUACUGCCGUGAAUACGUUCCCGGGCCUUGUACACACCGCCCGUCACACCAUGAGAGUUGGGGAUACCCGAAGCCUGUGAGCUAACUUAUAGAGGCAGCAGUCGAAGGUAGAAUCAAUGAUUGGGGUGAAGUCGUAACAAGGUACC